rnacentral:misc_RNA from 1 species
GCGGACAUGGCGCUCCAUAUUUCGCUCUCGCCUCUUCCAACGCUCCAACAAUCGAGAAAGCUGCAACCAACGACAUUGCUAUAAAGCCUCGCCAAUUUCGGAGAAUUAUUCACUCUUAUACCAAACGCGUCAACUACCGGAAUCACCGCUGAGAUGAACUCCUUGACAAUCGCGCUGAUCCUGAUCAUCUCCGCGUGUUUCGUCGCGGCCCGUCCAAGGUACCUCGCAAUACCCCUCGACGACGUCGAAAUAAUCGAACUGUCAUCGUUGCCGCGAGUCAGCCGCCACGCCGAGAGUUUCAUUCCGGUCGCCGUU